ACCCUGUCCGAUCUCAUCUCUUCCCCUCCUCGUCUCGUCGAGAAUUCCCCACUUCUCCGUCUCGCCAUCGCCGCCGCAUCCAAGCCCUAAACCCUCUCCUCUCCUUCUCUCACCCAUGGCCGUGGCCACAAUUGGCGCCGCAGCAGCCUCCCCAUGCCUCCGGCACGUCCACCUGUUAGGGCUUCUGAUCGAGGCGCAUCCAGGUGUGUAGAGAUCUCUGUCGCCGCUCCGCUCCUCGCUGAGGGAGGUAUCCGUAUCCCUCUUAUGCGUGCCUAGAGCGUAUGGGGACUCUUGCAUUCUCGGGCGGGAUCUUGUUUCUAGUGUUGUGAUAAUCGAUGACGUGUGUAUUUUUGGACAUCCUGCUGCUUUCUGUUUACUCUUUAGCACCGCAGAUUUUACUUUUCAAGUCAAUAGAGGUGAUUAAAUAAAUUAAUUCUGCAUACUGCCAAAUAUAUUUAUUUUAUUGAAGUGUGAAGCGAUAAAUUACUAGUAGGUCCUUGCAACGGUUGUUUUAUUCUCUCUUGAUGAAAGGAUUAACUUACAUGACACAGGCACGCGGCAGUCAUUUGGUUGCAUUUAUUCUCUUUUUCUCAUAUGCUCAUGUAUUCUUGUAAUGGUUAAUUUUUCUUGUUUUGUGGAUCCUGUGUGAUAGUCUUACAAUGAAUUUCCGAAAUCAGGAAGUAAAGCGAACGAACUGACCUAGGUUAUGGUUUUCUCCUGGUAUGAAACAUAACAUGAAGUUAGUUUUGCUGACUUCUUUGGCUUGGCAUAGACGUGAUAUUUCCAGUUUAGGAUUGACCAUGCUGCUGAGCUCUAUGCAUAAGUCUAUUUGGGUUCUGCCCUUUUGAAGCUGAAAGGCACUGUAGUGUGUAAUGAUUUUUAAGAUCACUCUUAUUUCUAAGCAGUAAGAAAAAAAAUCAUGAAGACAAAUGAAUGAAUUAGUAUCUGAAUGGAGUCACACAUCAAGUUUGACUGGAAUGUAGUCACAUUAUGGUUACACCCUAUACUAUAAUGUUCUAGGGACAACUCCUACGAGUUACCAAAAUAAAAUAAGCUGAGGCUCUCUAGAAAUAGUUAACCUAUUUGUGGGAAUGCCAGGUGUCAGUAUUCUUUGUUGCUGUUAUUCAUGAGGCUAUACCCUAUUUACCAUGAUCUGUAAAUGCUAUUUUCUCGACUUUAUGCUAAUAUGCAUGUAUUGCAAGCAAACAAUUAUUUAUUGCAGAGAUCAACUAGCCAUGCACAUAUACUAGAAACAUGCACGUUUAAUUCAAAACAGUGCAUUUGUUAUUUAUGCACUCUCAUGACUAAACUAUUCUAUUAAUAAAAACAACUCAUGUUUCAUAUAUUGGUCCUGCAAGUAAUUGACUAUCCCAUUUGAGUAGUAUGGGAAUACCAAAAAAAAAAAAGAAGGUUCCACCGGGAUUUGAACCCAGGUUGCCAGAUUCAAAGUCUGGAGUGCUAACCACUACACUAUGGAACCGGAUGUUGUGUUUGGUCUCUUCCUGUUGACAUUUCUGUCUUAUGUUCCAUAAACUCAGUAAUGAUACAAAAUUGUCUUUAUCCUUUUUUUAAUUGUUUCCAUCAGUUAUGGCUUCAAUGAAACUGUGUUCCUUUUUGAGCAUGCAUCCAAUUAGAUACAUGCAGAACAUGACAUUUGUUAAAAAGUUCCAUUCAUUUAACUUUUUAUGGUAUAACUUUUUUUGUUGUUUUGUAUAAUUGUUAAAUGCAUGACAGUGCAUGCUCUCCAAUACAUAACAGACCUCCGAUUUCUGUAUAGUCAUUUAAUGGAAUCUUCACAAUUAAAUCUUGAGUGAAGUUUGAUUGCGCUGAUGUACACAUGUGAACAGAGUGAUUAUAAGAUACGCCAACCACAGUACAUAGUCAAAUAUAAUGCACAAAAUUAAAAUUUGCAUUCGUUUUUAAGUUGAAAUAGUUGUGAACAUGGAGCUGCCUUAUGAGGUGGACACAUGCCUACAAAAUACUUGGAUAUAUGAGUAUGUCCCUUAUGUGAUAGCUACUCUUAAAGUGGUUUAAUACUUUUAUAUACAAUGAAAGGGUUGAACCUUACAACAUUAACUACUUGUUCUUAUUGAUAUCGUAACCUUGCAGUCGAGAAGUUUCUCUGGGCAAAAUUUAAGAUGCAAGGAGAUAUAAUGAUACUCUUGUCCGAUAUCACCCUUCAAGUCAAGGUCAAGCUACCUUAUACUGACAUGAUGGUAACAACUUCAGUUACAUUUUGUGGAAGGCUUACAUUCAAGCCAAAAAUGUUACCAUCUAGCAUCAAAACACAACUGCCAUCUCUUUGGUGGAACACUCUUGAUGUGGCUCUUCAGGGUAAUUAGAUGCUUUAAUACCAAGAGUGAUAUGUAUGCGAUUUUUUAUGCUGGUGAUGCUAAUGGUGUGAUGGAAGGUUUGUCAGUAAGGUUGUGGGCUGGAGAAGUUGAGAUAGUGAGAAGAUCAAUAGACUCUGAUACCAUGAAAGCAGUUAUGCCACAUGUUGAUGCACUGCAUUAAACUCUUGCGUGUGAACAAAACUACUAUAUUUCCUGAAUCGUGUAUUUGCCCUGCAAUCAAUUGACUAUGCAGAUCCCAUUUGAGGAGUAUGGCAAUACCCAAAAAAGAGGUCCCACCGGGAUUUGAACCCAGGUUGCCAGAUUCAAAGUCUGGAGUGCUAACCACUACACUAUGGAACCAGGUGAGAUAAGACCACAGAGCCAGUCAUCGCUAUGUCUGAAAGCAUAUAGACUAUUUCCCAGCUGUUUACACCCCGGCAAAACAAUGUUCAAUCUUAUAAGGUGAGAUAAGGCCACAGAUCCAGCUAUCACUAUGUCCACAAACAUGUGCGAAUCCCCAGUUGUUUACUGCACAAAUUCACCCCAACAAAACCAUGUUUAACCUUGUCAGGUGAGAUAAGACUGCAUAGCCAGCCAUCGCAAUGUCCGCAACAUGUGAGAAACUGAGAAUUCCCUGUUGUUUACCUCACAAGUUCAGCCCAUGAAAAUCAUGGUCAUCCUUGUUAGUGUAUCAGAAACUCCUUUUCAUAUUCCAAGGGGUUCACAGUAAACGGUGGAAAAACACAAGGAUCAGAACUCAGAACCGCUGCUGUUUGCAUUCGGACUUUCAAUUUGGAGUAACAGUGUACCUUGCAGGAGCAAAAUUGAUGCUUCACUGAUGCAGCAGCCUCCCUGGAGUUUUGAUCGUGGUGUUGUAGACUAAAUGGUAGGGCGCAUGAGAAUAUGGGGUGUGGCAUGUAUGAGGCCUUGUGAAAUAUGGCUGAGUGAGCCGAUGUGUUAGUGCCGUCUUUUAGUUGGCAACAUUCUGAGUGAAAAUAGCCUAUAGAACGUUGCUAGUAUAUGUUCUUGAUAAUUGCCUGAUACAUUGUUCUUGUACUUGUAUGCUACUAUGCUAGUGCAUAUCACUUGUCAAAUCCAUGGAAUUUCUUUCCAGUGGAGACUGCACAAUGAAGUUCC
rnacentral:tRNA from 1 species